AGGGUUUGAUCAUGGCUCAGGAUGAACGCUGGCGGCGUGCUUAACACAUGCAAGUCGAGCGAAGCGGCUGAAUUGAUUCUUCGGAUGAUUUUCAGUUGACUGAGCGGCGGACGGGUGAGUAACGCGUGGGUGACCUGCCCCAUACCGGGGGAUAACAGCUGGAAACGGCUGCUAAUACCGCAUAAGCGCACAGGGCUGCAUGGCUCCGUGUGAAAAACUCCGGUGGUAUAAGAUGGACCCGCGUUGGAUUAGCUUGUUGGGGGGGUAACGGCCCACCAAGGCGACGAUCCAUAGCCGGCCUGAGAGGGUGAACGGCCACAUUGGGACUGAGACACGGCCCAG
rnacentral:rRNA from 1 species